rnacentral:rRNA from 1 species
AAGGAAUAUUGGACAAUGGACGCAAGUCUGAUCCAGCCAUGCCGCGUGAAGGAUGAAUGCCCUCUGGGUUGUAAACUUCUUUUAUAGGGGAAGAAAGAUACUUUUUUUAAGGUAGUUGACGGUACCCUAUGAAUAAGCACCGGCUAACUCCGUGCCAGCAGCCGCGGUAAUACGGAGGAUGCAAGCGUUAUCCGGAUUUACUGGGUUUAAAGGGUGCGUAGGCGGGCAUGUAAGUCAGUGGUGAAAUACCGGAGCUUAACUUCGGAACUGCCAUUGAUACUAUAUGUCUUGAAUAUUGUGGAGGUAAGCGGAAUAUGUCAUGUAGCGGUGAAAUGCAUAGAUAUGACAUAGAACACCGAUUGCGGAGGCAGCUUGCUACGCAAAUAUUGACGCUGAGGCACGAAAGCGUGGGGAUCAAACA